GGGGGGAGGCCGGAUCCUGGGCUGUGUCCCGGCGCCCUGUGCUCUGGGGCCUGCGCUGUUGGAUUUGGGCUCCGGCUGGGCAGCCCCCU
rfam:Canis lupus familiaris chromosome 21, whole genome shotgun sequence.